GAUGAACGCUGGCGGCGUGCUUAACACAUGCAAGUCGAACGGAAAGGCUCUUCCUUUGUGGGGUGCUCGAGUGGCGAACGGGUGAGUAACACGUGGGUAACCUGCCCUUCACUUUGGGAUAACCUUGGGAAACUGGGGCUAAUACCGGAUAGGAGGUUCUGCUGCAUGGUGGGGGUGGGAGUGUUUCGGCGGUGGGGGAUGGGCUCGCGGCUUAUCAGCUUGUUGGUGGGGUAGUGGCCUACCAAGGCUUUGACGGGUAGCCGGCCUGAGAGGGUGAACGGCCACAUUGGGACUGAGAUACGGCCCAGACUCCUACGGGAGGCAGCAGUGGGGAAUAUUGCACAAUGGGCGGAAGCCUGAUGCAGCGACGCCGCGUGGGGGAUGACGGCCUUCGGGUUGUAAACCGCUUUCGCUAGUGACGAAGCGUAAGUGACGGUAAUGGGAGAAGAAGCACCGGCUAACUACGUG
rnacentral:rRNA from 1 species